rnacentral:lncRNA from 1 species
UCUCGCACAAGAUGCAAUUUCUCUUAUGUCACCCUCUCUAAAACCCUGAAAAUCCAUAACCCCUAGUUCAUCACACAAUAUGCUUCCCACACAAAUUGGGAUACCUGAUAAAUUUGUAUUACCUGGGGCCUUUUCUUCCCAAUCCAGCAUUACCCUCCAUACCUCACUCCCUAUCAAAACCCCCCUUCGAAAUGAUUUUAAACGUAUUGAAAUCAGGAGAAAAAGACUAAAUUUUCCUCAUGCAUUCUUUCGAAAAUCCGAUUCGGUUCAGAAUAA